UCGGGAAUUUUGGGCAAUGGGCGAAAGCCUGACCCAGCAACGCCGCGUGAAGGAUGAAGUAUUUCGGUAUGUAAACUUCGUAAGAAUAGGAAGAAUAAAUGACGGUACUAUUUGUAAGGUCCGGCUAACUACGUGCCAGCAGCCGCGGUAAUACGUAGGGACCAAGCGUUGUUCGGAUUUACUGGGCGUAAAGGGCGCGUAGGCGGUGUGUCAAGUCAGUUGUGAAAUCUCCGAGCUUAACUCGGAACGGUCAACUGAUACUGUCACACUAGAGUACAGAAGGGGCAAUCGGAAUUCUUGGUGUAGCGGUGAAAUGCGUAGAUAUCAAGAGGAACACCUGAGGCGAAGGCGGGUUGCUGGGCUGAUACUGACACUGAGGUGCGAAAGCGUGGGGAGCAAACAGGAUUAGAUACCCCAGUAGUCCCUGAGCGGGCUGGCAAGGCGCAU
rnacentral:rRNA from 1 species